UUGAACGCUGGCGGCAGGCCUAACACAUGCAAGUCGCACGGUAACAGGAAGCAGCUUGCUGCUUCGCUGACGAGUGGCGGACGGGUGAGUAAUGUCUGGGAAGCUGCCUGAUGGAGGGGGAUAACUACUGGAAACGGUAGCUAAUACCGCAUAAUGUCGCAAGACCCAAGAGGGGGACCUUCGGGCCUCUUGCCAUCGGAUGUGCCCAGAUGGGAUUAGCUUGUUGGUGGGGUAACGGCUCACCAAGGCGACGAUCCCUAGCUGGUCUGAGAGGAUGACCAGCCACACUGGAACUGAGACACGGUCCAGACUCCUACGGGAGGCAGCAGUGGGGAAUAUUGCACAAUGGGCGCAAGCCUGAUGCAGCCGUGCCGCGUGUAUGAAGAAGGCCUUCGGGUUGUAAAGUACUUUCAGCGGGGAGGAAGGGAGUAAAGUUAAUACCUUUGCUCAUUGACGUUACCCGCAGAAGAAGCACCGGCUAACUCCGUG
rnacentral:rRNA from 1 species